AAAUUGACUGAUAGGAACAACAAUCUUUGACAUUAGUCCAGGAUUAAGAGAGAUCGCUGCAGUGGGCAGUGGAGAAACAAGCUACAAUGUAAGAGAAAAGGGCAAUUGUCCAACUUGUAAUCACCUUCAUAAAA